AAGUCGGUAACAAGGUUUCCAAGUAGGUGGAACCUGCGGAACGGAUGCAUUAAUGAGAUGGCAGUGCCCUUCGGGUAGACCUCCCACCCCCUGUUUACCGUACCCGUUGCUUUGGCGGUCCCGUCGCAAGACGGGCCGCCAGAGGGACCUUUAAAACCCGUAUUAUCAUUGUCGUCUGAGUACUAUACAAUAGUUAAAA
rnacentral:misc_RNA from 1 species